GACGAACGCUGGCGGCGUGCUUAACACAUGCAAGUCGAACGGAAAGGCCCUGCUUUUGUGGGGUGCUCGAGUGGCGAACGGGUGAGUAACACGUGAGUAACCUGCCCUUGACUUUGGGAUAACUUCAGGAAACUGGGGCUAAUACCGGAUAGGAGCUCCUGCUGCAUGGUGGGGGUUGGAAAGUUUCGGCGGUUGGGGAUGGACUCGCGGCUUAUCAGCUUGUUGGUGGGGUAGUGGCUUACCAAGGCUUUGACGGGUAGCCGGCCUGAGAGGGUGACCGGCGACAUUGGGACUGAGAUACGGCCCAGACUCAUACGGGAGGCAGCAGUGGGGAAUAUUACACAAUGGGCGGGAGCCUGAUGCAGCAACGCCGCGUGCGGGAUGACGGCCUUCGGGUUGUAAACCGCUUGCGCCUGUGACGAAGCGUGAGUGACGGUAAUGGGUAAAGAAGCACCGGCUAAAUACGUG
rnacentral:rRNA from 1 species